UACAGAGGUGCCAAGCGUUAGGCGGAAUCACUGGGCUUAAAGCGUGUGUAGGCGGACUUCUAAGUACCUUGUGAAAUCCCACGGCUCAACCGUGGAACUGCUCGGUAUACUGGGGGUCUUGAGCCACUUAGGGGUCGUCGGAACAAACGGUGGAGCGGUGAAAUGCGUAGAUAUCCUCAGGAACUCCGGUGGCGAAAGCGGCGUGCUGGACCUCUUCUGACGCUGAGGCGCGAAAGCUAGGGGAGCAAACGGG
rnacentral:rRNA from 1 species